UACAGAGGGUGCGAGCGUUGACCGGAAUCACUGGGCGUAAAGGGCGCGUAGGCGGUCUCUUAAGCGUGUGGUGAAAGCCCGGGGCUCAACUCCGGGUCGGCCGUGCGAACUGGGGGACUGGAGCGUAUCAGAGGCGGGCGGAAUUCCUGGUGUAGCGGUGAAAUUCGCAGAUAUCAGGAGGAACACCGGUGGCGAAGGCGGGUCUCUGGGCCGAUACUGACGCUGAGGAGCGAAAGCGUGGGGAGCGAACAGG
rnacentral:rRNA from 1 species